UUCCGGUUGAUCCUGCCGGACCUGACUGCUAUCGGAUUGAUACUAAGCCAUGCGGGUCAUUGUAGCAAUACAAGGCAGACGGCUCAGUAACGCGUAGUCAACCUAACCUAUGGACGGGAAUAACCUCGGGAAACUGAGAAUAAUGCCCGAUAGAACAUUAUGCCUGGAACGGUUUAUGUUCCAAAUGAUUUAUCGCCGUAGGAUGGGACUGCGGCCUACCAGUUUGUUGGUGAGGUAAUGGCCCACCAAGACUAUUACAGGUACGGGCUCUGAGAGGAGUAGCCCGGAGAUGGGUACUGAGACACGGACCCAGGCCCUAUGGGGCGCAGCAGGCGAGAAAACUUUGCAAUGUGCGAAAGCACGACAAGGUUAAUCCGAGUGGUUUCUGCUAAAGGAACCUUUUGUCGGUCCUAGAAACACCGAUGAAUAAGGGGUGGGCAAGUUCUGGUGUCAGCCGCCGCGGUAAAACCAGCACCUCAAGUGGUCAGGAUGAUUAUUGGGCCUAAAGCAUCCGUAGCCUGCUUUGUUAGUCUUCGGUUAAAUCUGUACGCUCAACGUACAGGCUGCCGGGAAUACUGCAAAGCUAGGGAGUGGGAGAGGUAGACGGUACCCGGUAGGAAGGGGUAAAAUCCUUUGAUCUAUUGAUGACCACCUGUGGCGAAGGCGGUCUACCAGAACACGUCCGACGGUGAGGGAUGAAAGCUGGGGGAGCAAACCGGAUUAGAUACCCGGGUAGUCCCAGCCGUAAACCAUGCAAACUCAGUGAUGCAUUGGCUUGUGGCCAAUGCAGUGCUGCAGGGAAGCCGUUAAGUUUGCCGCC
rnacentral:rRNA from 1 species